rnacentral:rRNA from 1 species
GACGAACGCUGGCGGCGUGCCUAAUACAUGCAAGUCGAACGAGAGCAACUGGUGCUUGCACUGGUCAAUCUAGUGGCGAACGGGUGAGUAACACGUGGGUAACCUGCCCAUCAGAGGGGGAUAACAUCCGGAAACGGAUGCUAAAACCGCAUAGGUCUUCGAACCGCAUGGUUUGAAGAGGAAAAGAGGCGCAAGCUUCUGCUGAUGGAUGGACCCGCGGUGCAUUAGCUAGUUGGUGAGGUAACGGCUCACCAAGGCCGUGAUGCAUAGCCGACCUGAGAGGGUGAUCGGCCACAUUGGGACUGAGACACGGCCCAAACUCCUACGGGAGGCAGCAGUAGGGAAUCUUCCGCAAUGGACGCAAGUCUGACGGAGCAACGCCGCGUGAGUGAAGAAGGCUUUCGGAUCGUAAAACUCUGUUGUUAGAGAAGAACAAGUGCUAGAGUAACUGUUAGCGCCUUGACGGUAUCUAACCAGAAAGCCACGGCUAACUACGUG